rnacentral:rRNA from 1 species
AUGAACGCUGGCGGCGUGCCUAAUACAUGCAAGUCGAGCGAACAGAUGAGGAGCUUGCUCCUCUGACGUUAGCGGCGGACGGGUGAGUAACACGUGGAUAACCUACCUAUAAGACUGGGAUAACUUCGGGAAACCGGAGCUAAUACCGGAUAAUAUAUUGAACCGCAUGGUUCAAUAGUGAAAGACGGUUUUGCUGUCACUUAUAGAUGGAUCCGCGCCGCAUUAGCUAGUUGGUAAGGUAACGGCUUACCAAGGCAACGAUGCGUAGCCGACCUGAGAGGGUGAUCGGCCACACUGGAACUGAGACACGGUCCAGACUCCUACGGGAGGCAGCAGUAGGGAAUCUUCCACAAUGGGCGAAAGCCUGACGGAGCAACGCCGCGUGAGUGAUGAAGGUCUUCGGAUCGUAAAACUCUGUUAUUAGGGAAGAACAAAUGUGUAAGUAACUAUGCACGUCUUGACGGUACCUAAUCAGAAAGCCACGGCUAACUACGUG